rnacentral:lncRNA from 1 species
CAAGAACAACAUGAAGAUGAGAUUAUAAAAAAGUCGAUCAGUGAUAAAAUACAAUGAAAUGAUUAGAAUAUAGUUUGUACGUACUAUAAUUUAAAUGUUUCAGAUGCAUUUUUAAGUGUGGGAUGUGCUAAGGAUGGUAACAUAGACUGUAUAAACAGUGUACCACUUGGCUCCGCCUUCUGUCAUUAUAUGAAUUUGAUGCCGAAUUGCUCUCGGUAUUUCGGAGAUGUUCUCCAUAAACCCCUAAUAACUUUUAAAAAUGGAGCUGCACAGAAAACAGAGGACUUGAGCACAAACCAGUCUUACAGUAGCUACAUGUCGACAUCGCAAGCAAGGGAGGAGAAAAAUUUAUAUUCUGUGUAAUAAAUUUCAAAAUUUUUUCCACAGCUCCAUAGGGCUUGCUGGAAGAGGCGGGAUUUAUGACCUAUACUGCAGCCCGUCACCAGAGGGUGCUGUUCUCAGGGUGGCAUCAUCAAGGGGGGAGACAGACGGUGUCCAUUCUAUAUACAAUCUGUGGAUGGUAAUUUCUUCUCACUCAAACAUAAGCCUCCAAGUAUGUUUUACCAUUUAAUCAUCUUACUGCGUCCAAGUAUGCAGGGUUUGAAAUAAUCUCACUCUGCAGAGUCUCCAAGUCGCCGCACUCAUGAGCUGCUGUGUGCAGUUUCCCCCCUGAGACUCGCCCUUUCACCGAUUGAACAAACUGGCUUUCGAGCCAAGUUAUUUUCUGAAGUACUAUGUUUACAUCGCCCCGCAACUUGUUCAGUACAACAGGCCUUACAUCCAUGAAGUCCAGAUGGUACAGACCCCUCAGCUCUGCUACACUCCAACUUCAUCUGUUGUUGAUGGCAGUACUGUCUGUCCCUGAUGUCCUCGAAUCAAGCUGUGAACAACUUUCUGUUUGUGUUCGAGUUAGCCCGACAGACCCUGAUGAUCUCCAACCCCACAAAGACCAGACCAGCUCCACUCAGAAGAAAAGAAAUGUGUUCAACACAAUGGACAACAUGAACAAACGUCUCAGAGCUCAGAAACACAUUUGUGUGCUGAGUUAGAGAUUUUUGAUUGAUUGUUUUUUCGCAUCUUUUGAAGCUGAAUCUGAGUGAACGAGCCCAACAAAGAAACCAGUUUCAGAGUCAAAAGAAAACCCUCCUCUGAGUUGUACAGUAGUGAAAAGCCGGUUGUUAUUUGUAAUCAUGAAGCUGGUGGCUGCAGCAGGAGUGAAUCCAGCAUUAUAAACUUUAUUUUCAAAUAUAUCAUGUAGGAGUUUCAGUGAUCCAGCAGCUGUUGAGUCUGUAGUAAGUAUGGAGCAUGGGUGAUAACCCGAGGCUGUUUAAUGUGCACACAGAGGUAGCAUCAGCUAGAGAGACUGUGUUUUUCUACCUCCUCUCAUACGCUCACACUAGUUCAAAACACACCAUAUAGAGUCUGCCAAAGGAAGAGGCUCCGAGGAGUCUUGAGUAAACAACAGGAUUAAACAAGCAAACAAAAAAUGGUGGUGAGUUUCUGUACGUGUGUGAGAGGAGGAUCUAUAUGAGCUGACAGAAAAACACAUCAGUUUACCGAAGGUUGGUGAUGAGUCAAAGUUUGUCCGUGUUUCAAAAAAGUAAGGGUUAGUGUUCGCCUGCAGGAUGUCAGGUAAGCUUAGAAAGCAAUGAUUUGAAUGAUGUACAAAUACAACAAUGGUCGUAUUUUUGUGGGCUAUAGGUCUUAUAAAACAUACACCAAGGUCGGUAUAGCUCAGAAUUCAGGCCUGUUGACAGAAGCAUGUUGUGCUGAAAGAAGCAGUUGUGUUGUUUGCAGGCGACAGGAGUCCCGGCUCGCCGUAUAUCCAACCCGCUGACAAAUAAAUAAGAGCGAAUGUUCCAUCGGAGGAAAAUAAAGCAGAAUUUCUGCUGACAUCUUGAAUUGAUUGCAGAGGAAACGAGCUGACCCCACCUGUGCUGCGCAGAGAUAAGAGAUUUACAAUGCAUGCAGGCCUCCGUCAGCAGCAGCACGUGGCUCCUCUCUUAUGUAAAACCGAGACAACAGAGAAGACUAAUGCUGCUUUGUCUGUGUGUUUCAUCCUCCAGAUUCAAGAGGGACUUCAGGAGCUGCUCAUUUAGUGUGUGAGAUGGAGUUUUUUUUCCAGAGGUGCUGUGGAAAAGGCCACCUGAGUGCAGGAAAGCGAGCAUCACUGAAGAUCAAAGCCACACCUCUGGGCUUUGUUACAUGUUCAGUUAACUUCCAGCGCUCCAGUUACAGCUCCCUCCCUCAGCUCUUUCUCCGCUCUCAGCAAAGAGAGAAUUAAACCCGACUCGUGUCAUCAUACGCAAUCCGUCUUCAUUUGUUAAUGCGUCAGGGCCGCUCGUCGCCGCAUUGUGAGCUGAAACCAAGCAACACGGCCUGCUUCACGGCUCGUCAUACCGCCAGGGCUGAGGUUCGGUCUUCAAGGUCCCUGACAGCGUCGCCUGUUUUCAGCUGUCGUCACACUGGAGACGAAGAGCAGAAAAUGAAGAUGAGUACCAUGAACUCGUACUAUUUUUUCCCCUUUGGCCUUCUUCUAGUACAUGAUGUAUGUUGAACUAUUUUUACAGACAAAUAAAGGUUGUCUUAAGAAACUCACCUAUUUACAACCUUUUUGCUUUUUAAGUCUGAUCAACAUCAAACUGCGAAAGAGCUUCUUCUCAAAAGCAAAAGCGAGAUCUCUUUGAUUCAAUUUGAUGCAAAAUGUAUACUGUGUUUAUCACUGCAGAGUUAAAGCUCCUGUUAGGAUAUUUUUAUGUUUAUGAAACAGUCUGGAAUUCAUAUCGAUACCUUUUUAUGAAUUACAAAAGCAAAGAAAACCAUUGAUCAUUCUUGUACUGUGUCUUUAGUUGCCUUAAGUCAGUGUGAGGGGAGGUGUCAGCCAAGCAGCGACAGAAGCAACCAUGUUUUCACAAUUUCUACAUAAAACAUUCACAAUAAAUGAUUGAUUUAACUUUAAAAAGUCAGCUGAAUGAGAUUUUGUGGGAGAAAUAAUGCUCAAACAUGUAAAAGACAUGAAAGUAAAAGUCUGCUCUGAGUACAGGAGGCGCCGAAAUUUAGACAAACC